UCAUCGAAGGGGUGAGCAUACGAUUGCGACGAAGAGCAUGAUUAGUUUUACCCAGUUCGCGCACAACGCUGCACGCAAUAGACCGUCGCCGGUCAGUGUCAUCCAGUUCGUAGGGACGCCAAUUAAAGACACGGCAGAAAAUUGUCUGUUCCGCGAGAAAAGCAUCCGCUUUGCCGAAUUUUCAGCAGUAAGAUCACUGAAGGCAAGGGAAAAUCACAGUCUGGAGUGUGGACGCUAGCGCCGCCAUCUUGCAAGGUAGCCGGCAAAGAAUACCCGGGGUGCAGACAAUAAUUUUAUCCUGCUCAUUGGGCAACUAGCCACAGCUGGACAGUUUGACAUCCACGAGAAAGCAAGGCUACCGUGCGAUUCAUCAAACCGUGAGAGAAGUUUUUCGGAACAAAUCACGUGGCGGAUUGCUUAGACCAAGAACAAAAGCCUUCCAUCGGAAGGUUUUUGUUUUAUAUUGCAGAUUAUCGUCAGCAAGUAACCAUCCGACAAAUCCACAAGUCACGUCGUCCCCUACGAUCAAGAAUCCGAGACGGUCAUCACACCUUUAUAGCAGCUGGAGUACAGUUUCGGAAUCGGCAUGUGGCGGGGUGAGCCAACAACGAAGAAUUGAACCGGGACGCUGUGUAAUAGGCCGCGAAGGCGUGUGCGUAGGUGAAGGCGUCGGGAGAGGAAGAAUGGAAAUGAGCGGUAUUGUUUAUGCGUAGAGGGGCGCCCCGGAAGAAAGCAGUGAGUAAAACAAAAUAUGUGCGUAAAGUGUAAGGACAGAGUAGAGAAGGGAGCGAGAUGCAGUUGAAUAGGAAAUAGAAAGGAGGAGAGUAGAGAA